rnacentral:tRNA from 1 species
GGAGAUAAUUUGGUAAAUGACUAUGUCUGCUAAACUUUAUUCUCAAUAGUUCGAAUCUAUUGUUUCUCCU